AGAGCAACCCUACCCCCUCUAGGUGGUCUGCCAUCUGACCUAAGGGACUAGGCAAGCCCUGGACCUGGCCGCCUAACCUGGACCCAGGCAGGAAUAAGAUCCCGGCUGUUCUGAUCUGCUCUUCUCUUCCCAGUCUUAGCGGCUUCAUUUUAUAGAUGGGGACCAGUCCGCGUCCUAGAGGAGUUAGGAUGGCCAUAGGACAUCAAGUACCUCCCUCACCCACCCACGUCUACCCUAGAAUUUCCAUGGCAACUAGGGCAGUGAGACUACUUUGAGGACAGCCAUGUAAGUUCUAGGUGAAUGACUCUGGUAGCAUGCAUCCCAACAUGCCCACGACCCCUCAACGCAGAACCCUCCCCUGAAGAGGACCUGCAGCCCAAACAGUCUGGACAAGGAGGGGAGCGAAGGAGCAUCACUGGCACCAUACCUUGAUAGUGGUGAACUCCUUUCUCCAAGGCAGCAGGUUUGGAACAUGAGUGUUCAAUAAAUGCCCAAUAACUAAGUUACAUAUAGCCUGACUCCAGGAGUCUCCAAAGACCCCACUACUCCCGCAGUCUGGGACUGGAAACUCCCGUGUCCUGCCACCACCUCCUCACAGCAACCCCAGCUGCCGUGAGUAUUUCCUUUCCUGGGUGGGGCAGCUCGCAUCCAUGGAAGGAAGACGCUGCCUGUGCUUGGAUGCCAGCAUCACCCUAGGGCCCCAGCAGAAUCAAAGGGCAUUGCUGUGUCCCUGCACGUGGGGUGGUACUGUGGGACAUUCCACUGUGUGUGUGUGAGUAGGGUGAAGAUUACUCAGACACCGCCAGGGAACUGCUGUGGGCUCAGGACUACCGUAAUGACUCAAUCCCAGCCCUCCUAAUGAUGCCCUGCAGACACUUGCUAUCCCAGAGAGGGAAGUCCACAAUUUCCUGGCUGGGAACAGCCCUGGGAAGAUGCUGCUUCUGUGCAGAGGCUCUAGGGUUGGGCUGUGGCCCCCUGUUACGCUGUCAGCUGUGAUCUCGAGGAGACUGGCAGAUGCUGGCUGUGUUGCCCGAGGCCUGGCUGCCCAGUGGGUAAAGGAACAAGUCACAUGAACGUCG
rnacentral:lncRNA from 1 species